rnacentral:sRNA from 1 species
AUAAAACUUUCAUUUGCUCUUACAAGCAAACUUAUAUUCAUAUACCCCUUAUUUACCCCAUAUUUAUCAUCAUGUGGUGGGAACUAAGAACCAGAGUGAAAAUGGAGGAAAAUGGCAGAACAUCACAAUAAGCUGGGAGAAAUGUAUAUUUUAGUUUGGAAGUAACUAAAUGUCGUGGAGAAACAUUUUGUUAGCUUUUGACACUGAGUUGGGAUUUUAAUGAAGUUCUUGUUGAGAAAAACAAAAACGGGUUUAUUACAAAGUUCUUAGGACAGUGACCCACAUUUUGAUGACUUUGUGAUAAUUAAGUCUGGUUCGGGAGACUGAAGGUUGAAGAAUGUCAGCAUUGCUUGUGUUGUUCGUGCAUCACAUACAAAACUAUGGUGACUAUUGGAAUGUGCAAAGUAAAGUAGCUCACACCAAUGGAAGGACAGAUAGAUUGAUUUUAAUUUUGACACAGGAAUUUUUGGGAGAGAUCAAACAAAACCCAGAUGUAUUAAUAAAAUAGGAAGUAUUGCAUAUGAAUUAACUCGCAUUGUUGACAAUUUAUCUACCAUGGAUGGGACAUUAUGUAUCUUUAUUUCAGACUCAUGAAGAUUUUAUCUGGAACUAAAAGCAAUGUGAUUAUUUUAAUUUGAGGUUUUUAAUAAAUUUCAAUAAAUAUCAC